UUUUAUGGAGAGUUUGAUCCUGGCUCAGGAUGAACGCUGGCGGCGUGCCUAAUACAUGCAAGUCGAGCGAACGGACGAGAAGCUUGCUUCUCUGAUGUUAGCGGCGGACGGGUGAGUAACACGUGGAUAACCUACCUAUAAGACUGGGAUAACUUCGGGAAACCGGAGCUAAUACCGGAUAAUAUUUUGAACCGCAUGGUUCAAAAGUGAAAGACGGUCUUGCUGUCACUUAUAGAUGGAUCCGC
rnacentral:rRNA from 1 species